rnacentral:lncRNA from 1 species
GAGUUUGGAGAGAGAGAAUUUAGAGAGAGAAAGUUAAGAAGAGAGAGAAAGUCUUGGGAAGAGACCGAAAGGCCUUCGAUCUUCACAUGGUAAUUCUCCUUCUUUCCUCCUUGGUUUUCUUUUCACACUACAACUUUAAAAGAGCUCACCCUCAAGCUCUUCCUUCACAUAAAUAUUAGAAAAGCUAUUUAACGCAAAGACACUACCAAACAACCUUCCUUUCUCCUCCUUAAAAAGCAAACUGAUCUUGAAAAGCUUAACAAUAAGGGAUUUCUUAAGUAUUUUCUCAUACAUUUCUAAGUGAAUUUUCUAGAUAAUUAAUUUGAGUAUUUGAAUUACCUUGAUGCAUGAAUUUGAAAUGUGAUUUAUUUGUUAUCUGAUAUGAAUAUGAACAUGUAACAUGAUUGAUUCGACGCAUGAUGAUUUGUAGCAUGUAUCGGUUUGGCCCUUUGCCUUACCUUUGGUAAUGGUGGAAAGGGUCAUUCUGUUGGGCCCUGCCUCAAAAAGAUGACUUUGUGCCUGAAUAUGUUAUUAUACACCCACCAGGUCCUAAUAAUGUUAUUAUUAUAAAUGAAAAUCAGUAAAGAAAGAGGAAAGAAUAGAAAAUAUUUUUGACCGUUAUCUCUUAGGGGUUUCUAUUUAUGCAUCUGAAUCUGUAUCUAAAUAUGUUGGUGAACCACUCCCUGUGGAUGAUACUAGCAUUCCCUCUAAUGAGAGUGGAUUUGUAAUCUAAUUUAUAGGGGCCGCAGCAGCAAAAUACGAUCAUGGGCGAAGUACAGUUGUGUCAUUAGUUUAUAUAUGAAAUGUCUGAUAUAGAAAUGAAUAUGUUUGCCAUUCAUAAUAGUAGUUUAGGGAUCCCUUCUGCCCUUAGUUAAUAUAAGUUAGAACGGCUUUGCGCGAAUAUCUAUAAAAGACGUAAAUAAAAAUUAAUCAUCUGAUGUAAUGGCUAGAAUAGUUGUUUGAUAUUUCAUGUUUUAGUAGUUUCGUAUGAUAUAUUGUUUUCUAUUUUAUCAUAACAUUGUUGUGCUUUUAGUUGGUUCAACUAGUUUCAAUUACACUGCCUGGUUGUGUCUUGAUUAUCUUAUAUUACACUUUGUCUUUACAUUUUAUUAUGAUAUCAAUGUUUAAAAUGGAUUUUAAAAGAAAGAUAAAGAUUUUUUUAAUAUCUUAAACAAAUCCACUACGCACAAGUUGCAAAGAUAAAUCACUCAUUUUUGUAAAUACAUUAUAAUUCAAAGUUUAAUAACAUUUGAUAACCUUAGUAGUGUAGUUUAAAUACUAUUUUUCUUACUGAGUUAUUUGAAACUCACCCCAAUUCAUGUCCCCCUCAGAUGAUGGCAGCGACGAUUCACUCGUUGAGUUACCCAUUGAAGCUUAUUUGAAUCACUUCUCGGAUCUUUAGGAGGAUUAUGAGUGCACUAUGAUGAAACAAACUUAUAAUGGAAG